GCUGACUUCUUGGUCCCUGACUUCAUGAAGAUAUGAAGAACUAAGGGGGAAAAAACAUUAGUAAAAGAAAACAAACAUUAAAGCACAAAAGCACCUUCACUGAUUGAUGUUCUUGCUACUCACGGUUCCCAUAUUCACAGAGUUCUCCAACUCCGUUAUCUACAACACUCUGGAGUUAGGGAAGGAACUUGUACUUUAUGGAGGCAAAUAUGUUUCUUUCCAAACGCUGUUAUAGGUGGAAAAAAUAUAAUGAACAAAAAACCCCCCACAUAUUUCAUACACAUCCAAAAAGGCAAACACAAUGACAAAAUGUUCAGACUUAAGGACAGCAUGUGAAAUAAGAGUAAAAUUUAUUAGCGGUAUAUGUAAGAAAACUUGUACUUGCUUUUGGGGAGGUGCCUUAAAUUUUUUUUUUUCUUUUGUAAGUGCACUGACUAAAUAGAAAGACAGAAGUUUCAU
rnacentral:lncRNA from 1 species